AGUCAUAUGCUUGUCUCAAAGAUUAAGCCUGCAUGUCUAAGUACAAGCCGUUCCCACGGGGAGACUGGAAAGGGUUAAUUAAAUACGGUUAUGAUUACUAUGGCGACCGACUCUACCGGGGUUAACGUGCGGAUUCUACGGCUCUAAUACAUGCACCAAAUCUGCCAUCCCGGGCUGAGGGCUUUUAUUAGACGCACUUAUUAGGCGAAAUCCAUUCGGCCCACUUGGGCGACCGUUGAUGAACUACACCUGAUUAAAUGGCCUCGAUCGCACGGCCUAUGAUUUCAAGGAGACCUUCUAUGAACUUCUGAAAGUAUCAUGCUGACGACUACCUUGGCUAUGCCAACCAGCGGGAUAACAGGAUAUCAAAUAAUCUGAGGUCGACUCCGGAGAGGGAGCCUGAGAAACGGCUACCACAUCUAAGGAAGGCAGCAGGCGCGCAAAUUACCCACUCCUGGNACGGGGAGGUAGUGACAAGAAAUAACAAUACGGGACUCUAUCGAGGCCCCGGAAUUGGAAUGAGUACACUUUAAAUCCUUUAACGAGGAUCCAUUGGAGGGCAAGUCUGGUGCCAGCAGCCGCGGUAAUUCCAGCUCCAAUAGCGUAUAUUAAAGUUGUUGCAGUUAAAAAGCUCGUAGUUGGAUCUCGGGUCCAGGCUUGCGGUUCUGCUCGUGCAGACACUGCUCGUCCUGACCUACCUGCCGGUUCUCCCUUGGUGCCCUUGGUUGGGUGUCUCGGGUAGCCGGAACGUUUACUUUGAAAAAAUUAGAGUGUUCAAAGCAGGCUGCACGCCUGAAUAAUGGUGCAUGGAAUAAUAGAAAAGGACCUCGGUUCUAUUUUGUUGGUUGUCUGAACUCGAGGUAAUGAUUAAGAGGGACAGACGGGGGCAUUCGUAUUACGGUGUUAGAGGUGAAAUUCUUGGAUCGCCCGUAAGACGAACUACUGCGAAAGCAUUUGCCAAGGAUGUUUUCAUUAGUCAAGAACGAAAGUCAGAGGUGCGAAGGCGAUCAAGAUACCGCCGUAGUUUCUGACCGUAAACGAUGCCGACUGGCAAUUGGGCGCACUUCUAUAGAAGUUGCCGCCAGCAGUACUGCCCGGGAAACCAAAGUCAUUGGGUUCCGGGGGGAGUAUGGUUGCAAAGCUGAAACUUAAAGGAAUUGACGGAAGGGCACCACCAGGAGUGGAGCCUGCGGCUUAAUUUGACUCAACACGGGGAACCUCACCCGGCCCGAACACUGUUAUGACAGACAGGUUGAGAGCUCUUUCUCGAUUCAGUGGUUGGUGGUGCAUGGCCGUUCUUAGUUCGUGGAGCGAUCUGUCUGGUUAAUUCCGAUAACGAACGAGACUCUUGCCUGCUAAAUAGACGGCGCCGUUCCUAUCCGGCGACCGCUCGCUUCUUAGAGGGACAAGCGGCUUUUAGCCCGCAUGAAGCAGAGAGCAAUAACAGGUCUGUGAUGCAAUUAGAUGUUCGGGGCCGCACGCGCGCUACACUGUUUGCAUCAGCGUGUGACUCCCGCGCCGACUGGCGUGGGCAACCCGUUGAACCGCAAACGUGCUAGGGAUCGGAGAUUGUUCUCCGUGAACGAGGAAUUCCUUGUACUGGCGAGUCAUCAGCUCGCGGGGAAUCUGUCCCUGCCCUUUGUACACACCGCCCGUCGCUACUACCGAUUGAGUGGUUUAGUGAGGCUCACGGACUGCGCGCGGCACACGGCGCUCUCGGGCUGCGCGUCGCGAGGCGGAAAGUGAGACGAACUUGAUCACUUCUAGGAAGUAAAAGUCGUAACAAGGUUUUCGUAGGUGAACCUGCGGAAGGAUCAA
rnacentral:rRNA from 1 species